GAGUUUGAUCGUGGCUCAGAUUGAACGCUGGCGGCAUGCCUUACACAUGCAAGUCGAACGGUAACAGGUCUUCGGAUGCUGACGAGUGGCGAACGGGUGAGUAAUACAUCGGAACGUGCCCGAUCGUGGGGGGAUAACGAAGCGAAAGCUUUGCUAAUACCGCAUACGAUCUACGGAUGAAAGCAGGGGACCGCAAGGCCUUGCGCGAACGGAGCGGCCGAUGGCAGAUUAGGUAGUUGGUGGGAUAAAAGCUUACCAAGCCGACGAUCUGUAGCUGGUCUGAGAGGACGACCAGCCACACUGGGACUGAGACACGGCCCAGACUCCUACGGGAGGCAGCAGUGGGGAAUUUUGGACAAUGGGCGAAAGCCUGAUCCAGCCAUGCCGCGUGCAGGAUGAAGGCCUCGGUUGUAAC
rnacentral:rRNA from 1 species